AGCUUCAUUGCUAGACUGAAUGGUAGAAGUAAUUUGAUUUUGGAAGAAACUGCCAAACUGUCUUCCAAAGUUCCUCUUCUACUUUACAUUUCUACUAGCAGU
rnacentral:pre_miRNA from 1 species